AUUAGAUCCAUCCCACUUGAACCAUACUCUCUCUCAUCACACAUUCUCUCUCCUCCUCUCUCUCUCUCCGAUCGCACAAAUCCAGAUUCUUCUCUAUCUCUUACAAAUCAUCACGCUUCCUGUUCAUCUUCUUACAAAUCAUCAACGAAUAAACUUCCACUCAUUCACUGAUCAACACACAAAUCAAGCAAAAGUUCUUCAGUUGGUACUAAGGAACACUCAACACCUGCGGUCAAAGGUACGUCAACAUCCUACUGGAAGGGAAAAGCUCUGGAAUACUUGAAGAUUGGACUUGAUUCUAUAAAGUCAGCGACCGAGAAUUUUGCUGAAAAAUAUUUCGUUGGGUCAGGCGGGUAUGGUUAGGUGUAUAAAGCAGAACUUGAACAUUUUGAUUCUGGUGCAAUGAAAGGAAAUUGCGAAUCAGAACCACCGAGGAGAUGCAACACUGUAGCUAUAAAAUAUAUCUUAAAUAGAGAAGACACACAAGGAGAACAAGGAUUCUUUACGGAAAUUGAAGCGCUAAGUAGUUGUAUGCAUCUUAAUAUCGUAUCUCUUCUUGGCUUCUGCUAUGAACGUCCUCAUAUGAUCCUUGUUUAUGAGCAUGUUUCAAGGAGAAGCCUUGAUGAUUAUUUGGGUAGCGAAGGAAAGAUGACUAAUCUUACUUGGGUGCAACGAAAAAAAAUAUGCGUUGGUAUUGCAUGUGGAUUAGAUUACCUUCAUACAACUAUGGACAACAAACAAAAGAUAAUCCACCGUGACAUAAAGAGUGCCAAUUUCUACUGGGCGAGAACUGGGAGGCAAAGAUUGCUGACUUUGGACUCUCCAUAUUCCACCCACUUGAUCACAAAGCGAGCACUAUCAACGUAGCCAAAGUUACAGGCACACAAGUGUACCUGGACCCAGACACAAGUUGAAAAAAGAAUCUGACGUUUACUCUUUUGGGGUGGUGUUAUUUGAGAUCAUGUGCGGAAGAUUGGCUUAUGAUCCGGUAUACACCAACGAAUUUGAAAAAGGUUUUGCACCCAUUGUGAGACAACUUUGAGAAAGGAACAAUAAAGGAAAUUAUAGAUCCUAAUUUAAAAGAAGAAAAUACCUUUACACUAAGUAAAGGACCCAAUCAAGAUUCUUUAAAUACGUUUGUAACAAUCGGGAAUAGAUGUUUGGCAGAAAAGCAAGCCGAGCGUCCAACAAUGAAAGUCGUCAUUGAGGAACUUAUGAAAGCAUCAAACUUUCAAGAAACUCACAAGGACAGCCUUCGAAUGUCACUUGAAGACAUAAAAUUUGCCACACAAAACUUCGAUGAUGAAAAUUUAAUUGGGCAUGGAAGACUUGGGAAGGUUUAUAGUGGAGAAAUUCUACGUCCUAAUGGACCUACUCCUAUUGCUGUAAAGCGGCAUGAUGUGGAGUUUGUUCCGGGAGAAAGAGAAUUUGUGACAGAGCUGGAAAUUCUUUUUGAGUACAAGCACACUAAUAUUAUCGGUCUUGUAGGCUACUGUAACCAAAACGAAGAAAGAAUCUCUGUUUAUGAGUAUGCCAUAAACGGAACUCUGGAUAGGCAUUUGAUAAAACCCAGUCUUACAUGGAUGGAACGACUUAAGAUCGGCAUUGAUGUUGCAAUGGGGUUGGAUUUUCUUUACGGAAGUGGUACAACACAAGCUUUUGUAAUACAUGGGGAUAUAAAAUCAUCUAACAUUCUAUUAAAUGACGCCUCGCUUGCGGUAUGCGCAUAUAAUGUAUAUAUGUGUGGGCCAUCUGGGGGCAAAAGUGAAAGUGCACUAAUUUUAACGUUAUUUUACUAAUUUCGUGAAAAUAAUGUUAAAAGCUGAGGACGGUUAAUCAUGCACCAUGUGGUGGUGUUGAUAGCCGAAAGACAAAAGGGUACAUGUACUAAUCGGUCUUUGUCCCGAUUGCUGAGUGUUAUGUGCCUUAUGUCCAAGGCUUGAUGCAAAACUACUAUCGAGCUGGGGGUCUCACUGGAAGCAGCCUCUCUAUUCCUACGGGGUAGAGGUAAGGCUGUCUACAUCUUACCCUCCUUAGACCCUACCUUUGCUUUGCUAUUGGUGGGAUUUACCGAGUAUGAUUAUGAUGAUAACAUUCUAUUAAAUGGUGAUUGGAAGGCAAAAAUUACGGAUUUUGGGUUGUCCAUAAUAACUGUUGUGUGUAACGAAUUUGACUUUGUGGUCGAUUAUGCUUCCGGCACACCUAGCUAUUGUGACCCGUUUUACAUGGAAAGGUGUUUCUUAACGAAAGAAUCUGAUAUAUAUUCGCUUGGUGUGGUUUUAUUUGAGAUGAUGUGUGGAAGAUUGGCCAUUUUAAAAGACCAUAAGGAUGAACAUAGGACUCUUGUUAGUUUGGUUAAACAAUUUUAUAAAGAAGGAAAACUUGAUGAAUUGGUGUUUGAGGGUAUAAAGGAUAAAGUGGUGCCAAAAUCAUUGAUUACUUUCCAAACGAUUGCUUAUCGGUGCUUAAGUGUUUAAAGAGAGGAGUGGCCGACCGCAAGGGAGGUGGUCUUACAACUCAAGAAAGCGUUGGAAUUCCAAUAGGAUUUCGAAAUAUGGGAGGCCAAACUGCAAAGUGACUACAAAGAAAUAAUGCGGAUGUUGAAACUGACUGAUGUCUACUCAAACACAAGUCAAAAAGAUCUCUACCACAUGUUCUCCAAAGGAAUCCUACUUCAAGACGAAAAAGUGUGUUUGUCACAAGGCAGCAAUGGAGAAAUAAAUGAAACAGUAUCAGCGACAAAGUUUUCAUAUGGAAACCACAGUUGUCAUAAGUGGAGAUCUUUAAAAAAAAUCAAGAUUUCAAAGAGUGGUGAAAAUGAUGGAUACUCCAAAUUUAAAGAUUCAAAUCAAGAUUAAAUCUCAAUUUUUAACUCCAAAUGUGAUUUAUGGUGCUCACCUUGUCUUUAAAUUUUGUGAGCCAAGAAAAUUGUCAAGUCAACUAAUGUAUGUCAACCUCAAGUACCAAAUGGGGAGGGAAACCCUGCAUGCAUAUUUUGCAACAUGCGGUGAUGAGUGGAUGAUGAUAGAAUUGCGCCGAUUCAUACCUCACAAGAAAGAUGUUGAUUUUGAGGUUCUACUUGAGAGCUUAUCCUGAUACUAUUGUGGAAGUGGUGCAAUCUAUGUUGAAGGCAUCCAUUUUCAAAAUAACAAGUGUCAGUUGAUUAUGAUGAAAUAACGCAACUAGAAGAUGAUGAAAAGUUAAAUCUUAUGAUGAACAGUUUUUCUCCCUAAGCAAAGCCAACGGAAAGAAAUGUCACAUGCUUCGCAAAGAUGGUUUUAUACGAGUCUUCUAAUGUAGCUUUGUAGAAGUGGCUGAGCUUUUAUCACGCCAAGUAUUUCGGAUCAAAGGCAAGAUUGAAACCCAAAAGUUGUUGACAAAUACAAAUUAUGCAUGUCAUCUUGUAUUCAAGCUAUCACAAAAAUGUCACGGUUUGCAGUGUCCGGUGAAGGUGCGAGGUGUACUCCUUAAGAAAAACAAAGAGUUUAAUUUUUUUUAUUUUAGAUCUCCAAGUUUAGUAAACUUACACAAUGAAAGGGUACCGAAGCUCAGAGAAGACGGAUUAAUGGAAGUUAUUGUGUGGGAAUUCAACUCAGGUAACGAGUUCAUUGAUGCUCAUGUUCCUAUGAAUUUGAAAUUCAUAUGUUAUGAAGGAACCAUGUAUGGUCUUAUUGUAUAUGGCAUUAGAAUUUCGACCCAUAUGAGCUUAUAGAAAGAAAAGAACUUUGAUCAUGUAAUGUCCCUAAUAUUUAUUUGUUACCUUGUACAUUACACUUUCAUGAAAGGUAACUUCUCGACUCAGUCUUGAUCGUC